rnacentral:sRNA from 1 species
GCUGGAAUCCUCUUUCAGGUACCAAAUGUCACCAUACUUUUUAUUCCAUAGCACGGCUCCCACGCAGCUCACUACAGACAUGACCAGAGCAGCAGGAACCAAAGGGAGACCUGCCCAUUGUCACUUUCUUAAUCUCUGAUCUCUUGAGCUGUUUCUGGCAAAGCCUGCCGUGUCUUACAUUUGUCUCUCUAUCCGGAUUAGAUGUUGCUAUAUGAACACAUCGGGACUGUGUCUGCAGGAAGGAGCUCCCCAUUCGAGGCCUUCACAGUGUCACCCACAUUCACCUCUUUCCACUUAAUCGUGUCCCAUGAAUCUUGUCAUAACAGUUUUGUGUUCCUUAACUAUUUUGUCUGCCAUGUCAUUUAUGAUGUAUAACCUCUUUAAUGCCUGAAAUCAUAAGAAUAAUCAUCAAAGGCAAGAGGGUUGUAUAUUUUCCCGUUGGAGACACAUCUGGAAUUUGCUGCAAUAAAAUAAUAAUAAGAAAGC